rnacentral:piRNA from 1 species
UGAGACGAACAGUAGAAUGCACUCUAGCCC